rnacentral:rRNA from 1 species
UACGGGGGGGGUAAGCGUUGUUCGGAAUUACUGGGCGUAAAGGGCUCGUAGGCGGCCAACUAAGUCGGACGUGAAAUCCCUCAGCUUAACUGGGGAACUGCGUCCGAUACUGGAUGGCUUGGAUUUGGGAGAGGGAUGCGGAAUUCCAGGUGUAGCGGUGAAAUGCGCAGAUAUCAGGAGGAACACCGGUGGCGAAGGCGGGUCUCUGGGCCGUAACUGACGCUGAGGAGCGAAAGCAUGGGGAGCGAACAGG